rnacentral:rRNA from 1 species
GAUGAACGCUGGCGGCGUGCCUAAUACAUGCAAGUCGAGCGAACAGACGAGGAGCUUGCUCCUCUGACGUUAGCGGCGGACGGGUGAGUAACACGUGGAUAACCUACCUAUAAGACUGGGAUAACUUCGGGAAACCGGAGCUAAUACCGGAUAAUAUAUUGAACCGCAUGGUUCAAUAGUGAAAGACGGUUUUGCUGUCACUUAUAGAUGGAUCCGCGCCGCAUUAGCUAGUUGGUAAGGUAACGGCUUACCAAGGCAACGAUGCGUAGCCGACCUGAGCGGGUGAUCGGCCCCACUGGAACUGAGACACGGUCCAGACUCCUACGGGAGGCAGCAGUAGGGAAUCUUCCGCAAUGGGCGAAAGCCUGACGGAGCAACGCCGCGUGAGUGAUGAAGGUCUUCGGAUCGUAAAACUCUGUUAUUAGGGAAGAACAAAUGUGUAAGUAACUAUGCACGUCUUGACGGUACCUAAUCAGAAAGCCACGGCUAACUACGUG